rnacentral:rRNA from 1 species
CAGCAGCCGCGGGAAUACGAAGGGUGCAAGCGUUACUCGGAAUUACUGGGCGUAAAGCGUGCGUAGGUGGUGGUUUAAGUCCGUUGUGAAAGCCCUGGGCUCAACCUGGGAAUUGCAGUGGAUACUGGGUCACUAGAGUGUGGUAGAGGAUAGUGGAAUUUCCGGUGUAGCAGUGAAAUGCGUAGAGAUCGGAAGGAACAUCUGUGGCGAAGGCGACUAUCUGGGCCAACACUGACACUGAGACACGAAAGCGUGGGGAGCAAACAGGAUUAGAUACCCGUGUAGUCCCUGUCUCUUAUAC